GUCAGAAUGGCCGAGCGGUCUAAGGCGCCAGGCUCAAGGUUGUGCACCUUCUCCAAAACAGAGAGAUUUCUGGUCUCCGAAUGGAGGCGUGGGUUCAAAUCCCUCUUCUGACA
rfam:Astyanax mexicanus chromosome 4, whole genome shotgun sequence.